GCGUCACUGCCUCCUCGCCACUUUCUGGCCGUUGGCCCCGCACCCAGCUCUGUAGUUCUCCAGGUAGGACGGUAAGAAAUUGUUCCAGCACAAGCAGCUCUAGGAUCUGCUCCUUUGUCCGCCUCUCUGGUCUCAGCCACUGGUGACAAAGUUCUCGGAGUCUGAUGAGAGCUUCUCUAGGGCUUGCUGCCUCCUGGUAGCGGAAGCGUCGGAAGUUCUGGUGGGAGGUUUCCAGCACCGGGUCAUCCCUCUGUAAGACAGACUCUGGCCGACAGGUGAAAUCAUCUUCCAGUUUCACCAUCAGAAUUCCCUCUUCUUCCCAAAGAUCCUGGUCCUCUGGUUCCACGGCUGUAGCCAUUUCUUGGCUUUGGGGUGGUCUCACACCAUCUAGAGCUCACACUGUCAUUAGCCCCCCGCCUCAGCCUGGACACAGCGAGGAUUUUCUUCCA
rnacentral:lncRNA from 1 species